rnacentral:rRNA from 1 species
GACGUAGGGCGCGAGCGUUGUCCGGAUUUAUUGGGCGUAAAGAGCUCGUAGGCGGCUUGUCGCGUCGACUGUGAAAACCCACGGCUCAACUGUGGGCUUGCAGUCGAUACGGGCAGGCUAGAGUUCGGUAGGGGGAGACUGGAAUUCCUGGUGUAGCGGUGAAAUGCGCAGAUAUCAGGAGGAACACCGGUGGCGAAGGCGGGUCUCUGGGCAGUAACUGACGCUGAGGAGCGAAAGCGUGGGUAGCAAACAGG